GUGGGGAAUAUUGCGCAAUGGGGGAAACCCUGACGCAGCAAUACCGCGUGAGUGAAGAAGGUUUUCGGAUCGUAAAGCUCUUUCGUUAGGGACGAACGUGCUCUUUGUGAAUAAUGAGGAGUAAUGACGGUACCUAAAUAAGAAGCCACGGCUAACUACGUGCCAGCAGCCGCGGUAAUACGUAGGUGGCAAGCGUUGUCCGGAAUUAUUGGGCGUAAAGCGCGCGCAGGCGGGAUAUCAAGUCUGUCUUAAAAGUGCGAGGCUCAACCUCGUGAGGGGACAGAAACUGGUAUUCUUGAGUGUCGGAGAGGAAAGUGGAAUUCCAAGUGUAGCGGUGAAAUGCGUAGAGAUUUGGAAGAACACCAGUGGCGAAGGCGACUUUCUGGACGAUGUCUGACGCUGAGGCGCGAAAGCUAGGGGAGCGAACGGGAUUAGAAACCCUUGUAGUCC
rnacentral:rRNA from 1 species